rnacentral:rRNA from 1 species
GACAGAGGAUGCAAGCGUUAUCCAGAAUGAUUAGGCGUAAAGCGUCUGUAGGUGGCUUUUUAAGUCCGCCGUUAAAUCCUAGGGCUCAACCCUGGACAGGCGGUGGAAACUACCAAGCUGGAGUACGGUAGGGGUAGAGGGAAUUUCCGGUGGAGCGGUGAAAUGCGUAGAGAUCGGAAAGAACACCAACGGCGAAAGCACUCUGCUGGGCCGACACUGACACUGAGAGACGAAAGCUAGGGGAGCAAAUGGG